rnacentral:lncRNA from 1 species
ACUGCAGCUCAGUGGCUCAUUUUCCCCAAGUAUAAAGCCCAGAAUGCCAUAUCUUUCAGGUCCCUCAGCUGCGGAGAUUCCUGGGACACAGGCAGAUGCCACCUGCCCCAGCCAGCGUUCCUACCCUUGGGGCCCUGCUCACCGCGACCCCAGGCUUCUUGCUGCCUGUCUGUGAGUAACAGAGUUGCUUUGCUUAGCUUGCUAUGCGAGUUUCUGCCUUGUCGGAGGGAGCAGGCAGCCGAAUAAGCGAUGUGUGCUGUCGCAGGACAAGGGACGAGGGCGGGGAGAAGAGUGAGCUCAGGGGGAGCUGAGCCUGACCCCACACGAUGCUCACAGAGUUCACCCCUGGAGGCUCGGGAGUCAGGCCUUCACACCGCAGGCCACUCAGGCCCUGGAAAGGUGGCCCCAGAGGGGCAGAAUCUCCUAGGUGCUCCUGACUUGUGUUUACUUAUUUUCUCUUCACAGUGCUGGGGCUGGAACCUAGAGCCUCAUGAGCUACGCGCCAGCCCUGGCUUCUGGCUUUUAUAGCCCUCCCAGGCCAACCUGCCUUGUGUCCCUUGCCCGCCACGGGCAGCAGCCCAGUCUGAGUCAGCGUCACCGCUCCCUGGAGCAGAGCCAGGCCUGCCGGGCCCUGGUCAGCAUGGGUGGAAGCCGUCGGACCCAGGCUGAGGCUGAGCCUGCAAGCCCAGCACUGGGACAAGAGAGACGGGUACUUCAUCGCUGGGGCCUCUGGGGUCCCCAGUGUCGUGCAAAAGGGAGGAAAUCAGGGCCAGGGCUUUGGCUCAGUGGUUCCACUGCCUGCCUUGCCAGCACAAGGGCCCGCGUUGAAUCCCCGGUACAAAAAAAGAAGAAAAGAAAAGGUAGAGAAUCCUCAGCCUGGAUCUCCCAGGUCACCUUGACCUUAGCAGUAAUCCUGUAAAUCCCCACAUUUGCAUUUGGCCUUUUAUCAGUGUUGUAUCUAAUAUAUUCUGAACAACUUACUUAUUCCAGAGAAGACCUCAGUUAUAUGUAGCAGCUGAAGAGACUCGUACACGUCCCUGCUUUAGCUUGCAGUGUGGACUUUUAAUAGAAUAAAGUAUGCA